AUGGGGACGUUCCUCGGAAGCUCUGCCCUGGUAAUUAGAGGAGUGGAUGAUCCUGCCACGCUGGAGGCAAUUGCGUGUCGGGAAGGCCUGGCACUCGCAGCUGAUCUUCAUAUAAAACAGUUUGUCAUAUCUUCUGAUGCAAAGGAGGUGGUAAGGGCUAUCCACAACAACAGCAACGGACCUUUUGGUGCCAUCAUCAAGGAGAUUAGAGUCCAACACUUGGCUAUUUCCCUCAAGAAAAGCAACGAGACCCACACGGGACGAUUCGACUGGGACACACCAUUCGCGCCAUCUCCUGGUGCAGCAACAGGAACUAGCUUAACGUGGGAGGCGAUAAUAGUAGAUAGGAAGAAGGCUCGUGUCCUCGGAUUAGCCCCGGAGAUCGAAUUGAUUAUAAAUUGCCCCUGCGCGUGCGACUGUCCCACCCCGGCGCCUACGACCUGCAGCACGACGGUGCCGGCGCUGCUCCUGCCGCUUCACGCGCUGCUGAUGUCGUUCGAGUGGCGGACCAAGGAGACGCUCAAGUGGUUGCACGGCCAGGAGCUGGGCUCGCCGUCGAACCCGAUGUCGUGCGGCAACAACUGCGGGGAGGGCGCGGACAUGCAGGACUGGUUCGCCACCAUCGUCAUGGAUGACAAGGUGUACGGCGGGUUCGAGCAGGCCUACUCGUUCAAUGCCACCGCCAUCGGGGACGGCGCCGUCUUCAUGCGGGGCAACUUCCUGCCGAGGGAGAGCAACGUGAGCAGCGUGGACUACCCCGUGCUCGGAAAGCAGCGUCCGUGCUCUCCUUCACCAAAAAGAAUGCCCCCGGCGAGACGUGGUUGGCAGCGACAGAUUCCCAAUGAAGGUCUUCUUCAACGGCGAGGAGUGCGCCAUACCGCAGAGGAUUCUAAGCGAGGGGGUUGGCGUUCGUGGUAG
rnacentral:rRNA from 1 species